rnacentral:rRNA from 1 species
AUUGAACGCUGGCGGCAUGCCUUACACAUGCAAGUCGAACGGUAACAGGUCUUCGGAUGCUGACGAGUGGCGAACGGGUGAGCAAUACAUCGGAACGUGCCUAGUAGUGGGGGAUAACUACUCGAAAGAGUGGCUAAUACCGCAUGAGAUCUACGGAUGAAAGCAGGGGAACGCAAGACCUUGUGCUACCAGAGCGGCCGAUGGCAGAUUAGGUAGUUGGUGGGAUAAAAGCUUACCAAGCCGACGAUCUGUAGCUGGUAGGAGAGGACGAUCAGCCACACUGGGACUGAGACACGGCCCAGACUCCUACGGGAGGCAGCAGUGGGGAAUUUUGGACAAUGGGCGAAAGCCUGAUCCAGCAAUGCCGCGUGCAGGAUGAAGGCCUUCGGGUUGUAAACUGCUUUUGUACGGAACGAAAAGGCCCGGGUUAAUACCCUGGGGUCAUGACGGUACCGUAAGAAUAAGCACCGGCUAACUACGUGCCAGCCGCCGCCGUAA